rnacentral:rRNA from 1 species
GACAGAGGAUGCAAGCGUUAUCCGGAAUGAUUGGGCGUAAAGCGCACGUAGGCGGCUUUGUAAGUUAGAGGUGAAAGCCUGGGGCUCAACCCCAGAAUUGCCUUUAAGACUGCAUCGCUUGAAUCCAGGAGAGGUGAGUGGAAUUCCGAGUGUAGAGGUGAAAUUCGUAGAUAUUGGGAAGAACACCGGUGGCGAAGGACGGCUCUCUGGACCGAUACUGACGCUGAGGCGCGAAAAGCGUGGGGAGCAAACAGGG